AGGUGUUCAGGUGUUCAGUGAAAGAAAAGGGGAGGAGUCCUGGAAAAAGUCACGGGUCACUUGACGAAACGCGAUGACCCUGCAGUGAAAAGCAUCUGGUAGCUAAGCCCAGAAUAAAGGGAGAAUAUCAUUCAAAAUUUCUGGCGUGCUGGAAGUCCGGUGAGGAGUACCCCUACUGUUUAAAGUACCGAUUUGGAUAAUUCAUCUGAGCCUGUUAGUAACCGUGUUUACCUCCCAUUCUUUGGAAAUAUUGGACCUGGACCAAGCCCCCGCUGACUAUCUACUAUUGGACCAUAUAAGGACAUUCCUCACUACACCGUGGAAAAUUACAACAUAUCACCCGCCGAGGAACAGCUACUUUGCGGACGCAGAUUCGCCUGAUCACCUCGAGAGAUGUUGGUGGUAACUAUAACCCACGGAUAGGACAUUGGGCCCUAGAAACCAAGGGGACUCUCAUAGAAACAGUGUUUGGGUUAUAGUCCCAGUGGCAGAAUCGUGCAUAUACAAGACUGGUCAUGGGCAGUGUGAUCUCUCUCACAUGUCAGACAGGAAGCUGUCAGUUGUUGAAACAACAGAACCAUUCAUCACACAGCAUUGAAGCAAUUGAAAACACCGUGUAUCAUGAGCCUUUGAUAAAGCUGCCAUAAGACAGCGAAACGCGUCAACACUACCUACCUCUGUACUUUGGACACUAUCGCAUGACUCAGAUACCUAUGUGUGGACUCUGCUAAGCCAUUUUUGGGACAAAUGAAACAAAGACCACCGUGGAGGUAAUAUUUAAGGGACCCCUAUUUGUGCGCUGGAUUCCAUUGCUUUUUGGAUCAUCGCUAACAGGAAACCCAGUAUAGCCACACAGGAUUGGUAACUAUUCUAAAUUAUUGGACAUUAGUCCCUGAAAACAUCUAGCUAUAAUAUCCACCCUCAUAUAGGAUCUGAACUUUAAUGUCCUAACGAACAUUUCAAUAUUAUUUACCAGAGACUGGAUAUACACAGCUCCCUUUUCAAUUUAUUGCUAGUGUGAUAAUAUAUGAUGUGCUAUACAAAGAGUACGUUAAAUUGUGUUUUAAUAAAUUGUAUGAAUUGAUUUUAUACUUUUACA